CCUAGCCCGGGUGGAGCGGCUGCCGAUCGCAGGACCGGAACGAUGGGUGAAAACGCUCCCCCGGCCCCUUAGACCGGAGUUGGACGGGGGUGGGAGGGCCACGCACGAGCACCAACCCGCUACCCCCGACCUGGGGCCGUGGAAGAGGGUGCGGGUGGAGGGUGGAGCUCGCUGAGCACGCGAGCAGAAGCCGCAGGCCAGAGCCGGAGGGAGGCCCCAGGACGCGGCUGCGCGCCGCCUCUCCGGGUCCCGGGAGAGAGCGCGUGGGUGCCUGGGGUGCCGUGGCGAAGGCUGCCCGACCAGGGCAGGCCAGCGGCAGGUGCCGCCGGGAGCUCCGCGCUGGGGGCCCUGCGUGCAGCCAUGCGCUGGCCCCUCCCGGGCUCCAGCUCAAACGCAGCGACCCUGCGAGCCCCCCGCCCCCGCCGGGCUGUGCCCCUCAGCCUCCGCACAGGUGGGGGCGCGGGCUGUGCGGAGAGAACCACGAAUGCCUGCUCUGCCCCAGGGCUGCUCUCCGAGCUGAAGCUGGCCGUGCCCUGGGGCCACAUUGCCGCCAAGGCCUGGGGCUCGGCGCAGGGUCCCCCGGUUCUCUGCCUGCACGGCUGGCUGGACAACGCCAACUCCUUCGACCGACUCAUCCCUCUGCUCCCCCAAGACUUUCACUACGUCGCCAUGGACUUCGGGGGUCACGGGCUCUCGUCCCAUUACAGCCCAGGUCUCCCCUAUUACCACCAAAGCUUUGUGAGUGAGAUCCGCAGGGUCGCGGCAGCCUUGAAAUGGAAUCGGUUCUCCCUCAUGGGCCACAGCUUUGGCGGCACUGUGGGCGGCAUGUUCUCCUGCACCUUCCCGGAGAUGGUGGACAAACUCAUCUUGCUGGACGCCUCGCCGUUCGCCCUGGACUCUAACGAGCUGGAGCACCUGCUGACCUACAGGCGGAGAGCCAUCGAGCACACGCUGCAGGUGGAGGCCUCCCAGAAGCCCUCGCGCGUGGUCAGCCCGGCAGAGAUGCUGCAGGGGUUCCUGAAGAACAACAGCCACGUGGGUGAGGAGUGUGGGGAGCUCCUGCUGCAGCGGGGAGCCACGCGGGUGGCCGCAGGGCUGGUGCUGAACAGAGACCGGAGGAUCGCCUGGCAUCACCACCAGACCCAGCGCCAUGAAGACUUUCCCGUGUUCUCCGUGGGGCUCCGAGGUUUAGGUCUCAGGUCCAUGUGGGCCAGUUUUCCUGAUGCUUCAAAGGCCGGAGCACAGCUUCGAAUUCGUCAGCAGGGAGCUGUUUGUGCACGCCAUCCGGAAGCUGCAGGCCCGCGUCCUGCUCAUCAAAGCUCUGCAAGGGUACUACGCCGUGAGGAGAGAGAAUGACGCCAACAGGGAGCCGCUGCUCUUCAUGCUGGCCACGCUGCGGUCCACCCUCACAGAGCGGUUCCAGUUCGUGGAAGUCCCAGGCAACCACUACGUGCACAUGAACGAGCCCCGCCACGUGGCCGGAGUGAUCAGCGCCUUCUUA